rnacentral:misc_RNA from 1 species
AAGUCGUAACAAGGUAUCCGUAGGUGAACCUGCGGAUGGAUCAUUAACGUUCUAUUUGAAAUAGAUAAACGUAAAAGAAAAAAGUAUUAAUACUAGCGUCAGUUAGUAUUGAUAUCUUUCUCUCUUAUCUUUUAUCCUAUUCAAAUAAUACAAACGUACACCCUUGUGGUGAAUAUAGGAACUAGAGUGUGAUUCUAGUGAAAGUGUAAUAGAGAAUAGAGAUGGCGGUGUAAUACAUUGUAUUAUAAUGCUAUUAAUAUUCUCUUUGCUUAGCUAGAAUCGCUUCUGUCUAUUAUAUAAACGCAAUUCUAUUUCAUUUAUUAAGACUAAAGUUUACCUUGUGGAUCAGUAACAUGAUUACCAAGUAAAACAAUUAAUAAAUCUAAUACAACUGCUAGCAACGGAUCACUCGGCUCUC